rnacentral:tRNA from 1 species
UGUGAUAUAGCUCAGUGGCAGAGUGCUCCCUUGCAUGGGUGAGGCCCUGGGUUCAAGUCCCAGUCCCACAA